GACGAACGCUGGCGGCGUGCUUAACACAUGCAAGUCGAACGGAAAGGCCCUGCUUUUGUGGGGUGCUCGAGUGGCGAACGGGUGAGUAACACGUGAGUAACCUGCCCUUGACUUUGGGAUAACUUCAGGAAACUGGGGCUAAUACCGGAUAGGAGCUCCUGCGGCAGGGUGGGGGUUGGAAAGUUUCGGCGGUUGGGGAUGGACUCGCGGCUUAUCAGCUUGUUGGUGGGGUAGUGGCUUACCAAGGCUUUGACGGGUAGCCGGCCUGAGAGGGUGACCGGCCACAUUGGGACUGAGAUACGGCCCAGACUCCUACGGGAGGCAGCAGUGGGGAAUAUUGCACAAUGGGCGGAAGCCUGAUGCAGCAACGCCGCGUGCGGGAUGACGGCCUUCGGGUUGUAAACCGCUUUCGCCUGUGACGAAGCGUGAGUGACGGUAAUGGGUAAAGAAGCACCGGCUAACUACGUG
rnacentral:rRNA from 1 species